rnacentral:misc_RNA from 1 species
UCACCGGUGGGGUGCAGUGUGGAGUCUGGAUGGUAGCCAAACAUUGCGCCAAGCAUCGACUUGCAGACUGCGUUUCUGACCCCGUCAACGAUGAUUACGAACCUCCUAGGCAUGCUGCUUGGCGAAAGGAAGCAAAAAAGUUGAGAAGAAAACGAAUUAGGAGUACGUUAGCGGUUGCACGAGAUCAACAAUUGUUAAUAGAACAAGAGAAGAGAGAGCGGUCUCCUACGUACAAGGCGUGGUUGGAAGAACAAGCUCUUUUAGAAGAGUUUAACGCAGCUGAAGAGAGACGGCUAGCAAUGGAACGUCAAAAGCGAUGGGAAACAGAAGAGGAAGCAGCUUUGCUGCGCUGGAGAGAACAACAAAGUCGACUAGCUCAGGCCAAGGCAGAGAAGUUCAAAAGAGAGAUUAUGAUAAAAGAAGAGUGGGAAAGGGAACAAAGGAAAUUACAAGAAGCCGAAGAAGUCAGGAAAAAAAAAAUGGAGGAUGAGAAGAAAAGAAAACAGGCAGAGUUACUUGCUCAGAUAGAUGCAUUCAUUGACGGUCGAGCCGAUUUGCCUGAUGAGGUCAACGUGUCCACCCAGACUCAGCCUGGGCAUCCUGAUUGUCCGUUCUUCUCCAAGACCGGUGCAUGUCGCUUCCGGGAUAAUUGUUCCAGGAACCAUACUCGACCAGGCAUCAGUCGAACACUGCUGGUCCCCAAUUUUCUAUGAUCACUUCGGGCUGCAGACACUAAACCAUGAUGAGUAUGAUACGGACGUUGGACUUGAGUAUGAGGAUUCAGAAACAUAUCAGCAUUUCAAAUCAGUACUCGCGGCAGUGAAUGGGAAGAUGGCCCGUGGGUGGUGCGGCAGACCAAGCACUUCACCAUUGGUAAAUUGUUGGCUGCAGACCUUCUUCUAGACUGGUUAACCUUUCCGUUUAUCCGACUAAAUCUUUCACUGAUAUUAUUUAUAAGAUUGACAAGUACCAGGUCAAAGUAGUUACUUUUAAAUUGUCUCAUAAGUUAGAGCCUAGGCAGUUGAUUUUGUUUGGUCGUAAAAAAACAAAUUAUUAUUAUUUAAGGCUCCGCUGAUACAAGGUAAGUUGAAUGAGGGAGGAGGUGAGUUAGUCAAUAUAGGAGA